ACAGAUGACACAGUAAGAAGGCCCUUACCAGAUGCCAGUCCUUUGGUCUUGGACUUCCCAGCCUCCAGAAUGGAUCUGAGUCUUUGUUUUCUGCUCAACAAGCUGCUGAGUAGCAAUCCCAGCCCCAGGGCCCAGAGCACCUUCCUCUGGGAGUCCAGCCCCAGGACUGUGCUCUGCCUGCCCCUACUGCACAGGCCUCAGAGCCACCCACCUCAACUCUGAUUCAGCCACAGUCAGAAGCAAAGUGCAGUGGCACAAUCAUGGCUCACUGCAACCUCAACCCCCUGGGCUCAAGCCAUCCUCUCACCUCAGCCUCC